CGUACACUCCUGCGGGAGGCAGCAGUGGGGAAUAUUGGACAAUGGGCGCAAGCCUGAUCCAGCCAUGCCGCGUGAGUGAUGAAGGCCCUAGGGUUGUAAAGCUCUUUCACCGGUGAAGAUAAUGACGGUAACCGGAGAAGAAGCCCCGGCUAACUUCGUGCCAGCAGCCGCGGUAAUACGAAGGGGGCUAGCGUUGUUCGGAUUUACUGGGCGUAAGGCGCACGUAGGCGGACUAUUAAGUCAGGGGUGAAAUCCCGGGGCUCAACCCCGGAACUGCCUUUGAUACUGGUAGUCUUGAGUUCGAGAGAGGUGAGUGGAAUGCCGAGUGUAGAGGUGAAAUUCGUAGAUAUUCGGAGGAACACCAGUGGCGAAGGCGGCUCACUGGCUCGAUACUGACGCUGAGGUGCGAAAGCGUGGGGAGCAAACAGGAUUAGAUACCCCAGUAGUCCCAUGAU
rnacentral:rRNA from 1 species